GUCGCGGGUGUAGGGUGGCGGCGCUCCGCCUUUCACCGACGCACCUGGGAGAAACAGACCGGAGGACGCGGGUGGCGCGGAGCACGAGAAACAACGAGUUUCUGUCUAGAUCGUGGGGGACCCAAGCCCGGGGUUGCGUCCAAGGUCGGGGAUGGAGAGGACGCGACCCCCGCGGCAGUCGAGAUGGCCUUUUUAAAAUUCUAUAUUUGAGAAGGAGUCUCGCGCUGUCGCCCAGGCUGGAGCGCAAUGGCGCGAAAUCGGCUCAUUGCAGCCUCGACGUCCAGGACUCGAGCGAUCCUCCCGCCUCAGCCUCUCGAGAAGGAGUGGCCAGAAGGCUCCUCUCCAGGCCUCACAGAGGGAAACACUGGUCUAGUGAGAGACCUGCGUCCUGCCCAUCAGGACCGAAGCGGCACGCGUGAGGAUCCUGCAGGCCAAGAGACAACAGCGAUUACAAACCCCAGUCCCAGCCUUGCAGCUGACCUUGCAGGUGACGCCCUGCCUGGGUGUCUCGGUGCAGCUGCACAUCAGGGGCCUCUGCUGGACAGAAGCUCUGAGUCCACACUUGGCCCCCAGGCGCUGGAGCUGGAGCACUGCCACGAGAGGGGAUGCUGCCGUGGCUGCGCCAGCUUCAGCCCUUUCCCUGCACCGAGAUGUCCCAGUGAGCGGCUGGGUGCUCACAGUUCCCGUUGGGCCAUCAGAGGAAGAUCAAAGAUCAACCCUCCCCCAUGGGCUCCUGCCUGCCUGCCAGGUUUUCCUGUCUCCUGGAGGACAAGGAUGAGGGCUUUCCACUUGAGUCUCCCUGGUGGAGCCCAGCUCCUGACAUACCUGGUAAAAGUUCUCAAGAGAAGAACAUGGAGGAGGAAUGUGGAUAACAACCCUGGCUGCCUGUGUGUUCCAAGCUAGGAAGAUGUAAUGUCCCCACAAACGGGGUAAAUGGCUUGCCUGCGUCACAGCUGUCUCAAGCCCAGGCCCUGGGUGCCAGCCCAAGCCCAAGGACUAGGUCCAGAGCCACACAGCGCCAGGCCACAUCCGCCUCACCUGGGACCUUUUGUGGGGUACAGUCUCCGGCCCCACCCAGACCUGCUGAAGGAGAGACCCCAUGGCAAGGACUCAGCCACCUGCAGUUUCAUAAGCCCCCAGUGGGUUCCUAGGCAUGAAGACCACCGGUUAGAGGCUGAACUGGCAGGAACCUGUCUCCAGCCCCUUCUCACCCCAGCCGGGCCCUGCCUCAGAGGCAGCACCCAGGACGUGGCCAUGACCCGUGGACUCCACUCAAUCCCUCUUCUCCAGGAGCCAUGCAAAGUGUCAGCCAGCCAGGCCCCUGGAAGGCAGUCAUCACCUCUUAAGGCAUUGCGGGUGUCGGUCCUGCAACUGCCAGGUGCAGCACACGACCCAUGUCCGGUGUUCGAUAGCAGGGAGCCAUGACCUGGCAACGAUUCCACGCUCAAAGGGGCACCCGGGGGGCCCUGGGUCGGGGCGGAUCAGCUUUCCCUGGGCACAUCUGCCUCAUUCCAGAUCUCCAGGGCUCAUGUCUGUGACAGGGAGGGAAGGCUCUGCCCUGGCCUUCCGUCAGCUCUGCCAGUGCAGGCUGGGCAGCCUGGGCUUUAGAGCUGGCUUCUGCCCACACUUUCUCCGUGAAAGGAAAACAACUAUGAGUCUGCCAAACGCAUCUCAGAUGCGUUUUAAAAAAUUCUGGUCCCCGCUCUCUGUCCCAUCAUCUGCCUCGGGGACUUCCUCUCUCCGUGGUUCUCACCCCAUACUCUGUCACUGCCACAUUUUCACCUGGGCCUGGCCUUUGUCUCCACCUGAAACUCCUGAAAAUCUUGAAAUGGA
rnacentral:lncRNA from 10 species